rnacentral:rRNA from 1 species
AUGAACGCUGGCGGCGUGCCUAAUACAUGCAAGUCGAGCGAACGGACGAGAAGCUUGCUUCUCUGAUGUUAGCGGCGGACGGGUGAGUAACACGUGGAUAACCUACCUAUAAGACUGGGAUAACUUCGGGAAACCGGAGCUAAUACCGGAUAAUAUUUUGAACCGCAUGGUUCAAAAGUGAAAGACGGUCUUGCUGUCACUUAUAGAUGGAUCCGCGCUGCAUUAGCUAGUUGGUAAGGUAACGGCUUACCAAGGCAACGAUGCAUAGCCGACCUGAGAGGGUGAUCGGCCACACUGGAACUGAGACACGGUCCAGACUCCUACGGGAGGCAGCAGUAGGGAAUCUUCCGCAAUGGGCGAAAGCCUGACGGAGCAACGCCGCGUGAGUGAUGAAGGUCUUCGGAUCGUAAAACUCUGUUAUUAGGGAAGAACAUAUGUGUAAGUAGCUGUGCACAUCUUGACGGUACCUAAUCAGAAAGCCACGGCUAACUACGUG